AUACAUGUUGUAAAUCAUGCAUACCAACUGUUGGAUGAAUUACCUUAAUAAAGAACGUUUUGUGUGGAUCUCACUUGUGGGACCAUCUUUCUCUAUCGAUGAAUGGGCACACAUGGAUGUAUGGUUGAAGACUAUACCAUUGAUGCCCCUUUGGAUAAAAGUAGAGCUGGUCUGACCAUUUAAACUUUCCUUUCAUCAUUAUGUGUUUUUACACCUAAUAGAUUUGAUGAACUUUAACCAUUUUUGCUUUUAGCCCUGUUUGAGGGAUACCAUUCCUAUGAUAAAAAUGCAAUUGCCAAAGUAAUUUUCAGUCUGUCCAGAUACAUAAGGAUCCAUCAGAGGGAUGUUUCAGAUCAUCAAAAUAUACAAUCAUGUGUGCUUGGCUUGUCCAUAAUUGCUUGAGCCAAGAAAUGGACCUCAACCACUAAUUAUCCUUAUAUCGAAUGCUUACAUAGAUGCAUUGAGGUCGGAAAGCCUUGAGCGUGUGCAACCCAGCUCUCUUACAAUCCAACACAGGCCUGGAUAGAAGGUGUGUAAUAUCCAAGCUUUCCAUCAGGUGGUUCCCCACUUCUUGAUGCCACGGUCCAAAAAUCAGGCAAGUCCACUCCAUAUGCUUAUUCAAAGUGGAAGUAACUAUAUAGAGUGUAGGCUCAGGGGUCCACAAUGCUUACAUGGAUGCAUGAUCAAAGUUGCUCAUCAGUUUUAUCCUUGAAGAAAAAGGGAAGAAAAAUCUGUCCACAUUUAUAAAUAAAAAAUUAAAAAAAUCCAUAGCUAUUCUCCUCCAUCUGCUAGUUAUAGGUAUUCAUUGGUUCCUUUUA